UAGGGAAUCUUCGGCAAUGGAUGAAAGUCUGACCGAGCAACGCCGCGUGAGUGAAGAAGGUUUUCGGAUCGUAAAACUCUGUUGUUAGAGAAGAACAAGGACGUUAGUAACUGAACGUCCCCUGACGGUAUCUAACCAGAAAGCCACGGCUAACUACGUGCCAGCAGCCGCGGUAAUACGUAGGUGGCAAGCGUUGUCCGGCUUUAUUGGGCGUAAAGCGAGCGCAGGCGGUUUAUUAAGUCUGAUGUGAAAGCCCCCGGCUCAACCGGGGAGGGUCAUUGGAAACUGGGAGACUUGAGUGCAGAAGAGGAGAGUGGAAUUCAAUGUGUAGCGGUGAAAUGCGUAGAUAUAUGGAGGAACACAAGUGGCGAAGGCGGCUCUCUGGUCUGUAACUGACGCUGAGGCUCGAAAGCGUGGGGAGCAAACAGG
rnacentral:rRNA from 1 species